UCUGGGAUAAGCUAAAUAAGCUGUUGAGUUCAUACCUCAAAUAUAGGUUUUCCUUCCUAGUA
rnacentral:tRNA from 1 species